UACGGAGGGUGCAAGCGAUACUCGGAAGCACUGGGCGUAAAGUGCGCGUAGGCGGACUAGCAAGUCUGGUGUGAAAGCCCAGGGCUCAACCCUGGAAGGGCACUGGAAACUGUUAGGCUUGAGUUCCGGAGAGGAGGGGGGAAUUCCCGGUGUAGCGGUGAAAUGCGUAGAUAUCGGGAGGAAUACCGGUGGCGAAGGCGCCCCUCUGGACGGAAACUGACGCUGAGGCGCGAAAGCGUGGGGAGCAAACAGG
rnacentral:rRNA from 1 species